UAGGACGGUCAUAGCUGCCUGGUCCUACCCGAUCCCAUCUUGAACUCGGCAGUAAAACAGGCACACGUUCUGGGCUGUACUGCCUUUCAGGCGGGAAACCCAGUUAGCUGUCCACC
rnacentral:rRNA from 1 species